GAGUUUGAUCUUGGCUCAGAUUGAACGCUGGCGGCAUGCCUUACACAUGCAAGUCGAACGGCAGCACGGGAGCUUGCUCCUGGUGGCGAGUGGCGAACGGGUGAGUAAUGCAUCGGAACGUAUCCUGGAGUGGGGGAUAACGUAGCGAAAGUUACGCUAAUACCGCAUAUUCUGUGAGCAGGAAAGCGGGGGACCUUCGGGCCUCGCGCUCUUGGAGCGGCCGAUGUCGGAUUAGCUAGUUGGUGAGGUAAAGGCUCACCAAGGCGACGAUCCGUAGCAGGUCUGAGAGGAUGAUCUGCCACACUGGAACUGAGACACGGUCCAGACUCCUACGGGAGGCAGCAGUGGGGAAUUUUGGACAAUGGGGGCAACCCUGAUCCAGCCAUGCCGCGUGAGUGAGGAAGGCCUU
rnacentral:rRNA from 1 species